GUGCUGGAGUCUGUAGUCAGGGGUGUUUGUGUGUGCGUUAAUGAGUAACCGACUUCGAGUAUCACAAACACCGCUACUGUUCAGAAGAGCGACUCCGAAGUGAUCCCAGUGUACUGGGCAUGGUUGAGAAAUUCCGUCUGUACUAGGAGUCUGUAGUCAGGGGUGUUUGUGUGUGCGUUAAUGAGUAACCGACUUCGAGUAUCACAAACACCGCUACUGUUCAGAAGAGCGACUCCGAAGUGAUCCCAGUGUACUGGGCAUGGUUGAGAAAUUCCCUCUGUACGAGGAGUCUGUAGUCAGGGGUGUUUGUGUGUGCGUUAAUGAGUAACCGACUUCGAGUAUCACAAACACCGCUACUGUUCAGAAGAGCAACUCCGAGGUGAUCCCAGUGUACUGGGCAUGGUUGAGAAAUUCCCUCUGUACGAGGAGUCUGUAGUCAGGGGUGUUUGUGUGUGCGUUAAUGAGUAACCGACUUCGAGUAUCACAAACACCGCUACUGUUCAGAAGAGCGACUCCGAAGUGAUCCCAGUGUACUGGGCAUGGUUGAGAAAUUCCCUCUGUGCUAGGAGUCUGUAGUCAGGGGUGUUUGUGUGUGCGUUAAUGAGUAACCGACUUCGAGUAUCACAAACACCGCUACUGUUCAGAAGAGCGACUCCGAAGUGAUCCCAGUGUACUGGGCAUGGUUGAGAAAUUCCCUCUGUACGAGGAGUCUGUAGUCAGGGGUGUUUGUGUGUGCGUUAAUGAGUAACCGACUUCGAGUAUCACAAACACCGCUACUGUUCAGAAGAGCGACUCCGAAGUGAUCCCAGUGUACUGGGCAUGGUUGAGAAAUUCCGUCUGUACUAGGAGUCUGUAGUCAGGUGUGUUUGUGUGUGCGUUAAUGAGUAACCGACUUCGAGUAUCACAAACACCGCUACGGUUCAGAAGAGCGACUCCGAAGUGAUCCCAGUGUACUGGGCAUGGUUGAGAAAUUCCCUCUGUACGAGGAGUCUGUAGUCAGGGGUGUUUGUGUGUGCGUUAAUGAGUAACCGACUUCGAGUAUCACAAACACCGCUACUGUUCAGAAGAGCAACUCCGAGGUGAUCCCAGUGUACUGGGCAUGGUUGAGAAAUUCCCUCUGUACGAGGAGUCUGUAGUCAGGUGUGUUUGUGUGUGCGUUAAUGAGUAACCGACUUCGAGUAUCACAAACACCGCUACUGUUCAGAAGAGCGACUCCGAGGUGAUCCCAGUGUACUGGGCAUGGUUGAGAAGUAUCGUUAAACUGGUGCUUUUCUGUGGUCGUCUGUACCAGGAGUCUGUAGUCAGGGGUGUUUGUGUGUGCGUUAAUGAGUAACCGACUUCGAGAAACACAAACCCCGCUACUGUUCAGAAGAGCGACUCCGAAGUGAUCCCAGUGUACUGGGCAUGGUUGAGAAAUUCCCUCUGUACGAGGAGUCUGUAGUCAGGGGUGUUUGUGUGUGCGUUAAUGAGUAACCGACUUCGAGUAUCACAAACACCGCUACUGUUCAGAAGAGCGACUCCGAAGUAAUCCCAGUGUACUGGGCAUGGUUGAGAAAUUCCCUCUGUACGAGGAGUCUGU